CAGUCGCCGCGGGAAUACAGAGGGUGCAAGCGUUAAUCGGAAUUACUGGGCGUAAAGCGCGCGUAGGUGGUUUGUUAAGUUGGAUGUGAAAUCCCCGGGCUCAACCUGGGAACUGCAUCCAAAACUGGCAAGCUAGAGUAUGGUAGAGGGUGGUGGAAUUUCCUGUGUAGCGGUGAAAUGCGUAGAUAUAGGAAGGAACACCAGUGGCGAAGGCGACCACCUGGACUGAUACUGACACUGAGGUGCGAAAGCGUGGGGAGCAAACAGGAUUAGAUACCCGGGUAGUCCCUGUCUCUUAUAC
rnacentral:rRNA from 1 species